rnacentral:rRNA from 1 species
AUUGAACGCUGGCGGCAGGCCUAACACAUGCAAGUCGAACGCGUGGCGCACAGGUGAGUGAUAUGUGGGAAACUGCCCGCUGGAGGGGGGUAACUACUGGAGACGGUAGCUAAUACAGCAUACCACCGGAGGUGCCCCGAUGGGAUGAUCUUGUAGGUGGGGGAACGGCUCACCUGGGCGACGCUCCCUAGCUGGUCUGAGAGGAUGACCAGCCACACUGGAAUUGAGACACGGUCCAGCCUCCUACGGGAGGCAGCAGUGGGGAAUAGUGCACAAUGGGCGCAAGCCUGAUGCAGCCAUGCCGCGUGUAUGAAGAAGGCCUUCGGGUUGUAAAGUACUUUCAGCGGGGAGGCGUUACCCGCAGAAGAAGCACCGGCUAACUCCGUGCCAGCAGCCGCGGUAAUAC